GACUGUUCAAACUGUCGGAAUGGAGAAAGAGGUCUUGAGCUUCCCAAUAAGCUUUACAUAGAACUGUCCAUCAAACCCUUGGAAUGGAGGAAGAGGUCUCUUAACUUGAGUUUCCCAAGAAGUUUUUAAUAGAACUGUUCAUCAAACCACUGGAAUGGAGGAAGAGGUUUCUUUACUCAAGGUUCCCAAGAAGUCUUAAAUAGAACUGUUCAGCAAACCCUCGUAAUGGAGGAAGGAGG